GGUUUUAUAGUUUAUUUAAAAAUUUUAAAUUGCAAAUUUAAAGAAAAAAUUUUUUAAGACUU
rnacentral:tRNA from 1 species